rnacentral:rRNA from 1 species
AGUGCACUUAAUUGUGGCUCGAACCAUCUUCUAAACACACCCAAAAAGAAACAAGACUUGAUUAUGUGAUUGAAAGAUCAUUGUAAUCAGGUAUAAGUGGCUUCAUUGCCACAUUACCCCCCAUUUUAAACAUAAACACUAUAUUAAAGAUUUUGAAGGAAUGUAAAAAAAAUAUAUAAAUAUAUAUAACUUUUAACAAUGGAUCUCUAGGCUCUCACAUCGAUGAAGAACACAGUGAAAUGUGAUAAGUAAUGUGAAUUGCAGAAUUCAGUGAAUCAUUGAAUCUUUGAACGCAUCUUGCACCUUUUGGUAUUCCAAAAGGUACACCUGUUUGAGUGUCAUGAAAACCUCUCACUAAAACAACUUUGUUAUAGUUUUUUUUAGUGGAUGAUGAGUGUUGCUGUAAUUAGCUCACUUUAAAUAUAUAAGUCUGUCUUGAAUAAGUUGGAUUGACUUGGUGUAAUAAUUUGAGCAUCAAGGAAAGUAGCAAUACUGCCAUCUUAUUUUGGGUAAGGGCUCCUAACAUUGAACCAUUUUUAAAAUGAUGGACCCCUAACAUUUAAGACCUCAAAUCAGGUGGGA